CGCCUGUUUAACAAAAACAUGUCUAUAUGAAUUUAUUAUAAAAGUAUAACCUGCCCACUGAUGUUUUAAAGGGCCGCGGUAAUAUGACCGUGCUAAGGUAGCAUAGUCAAUAGUCUUUUAAUUGAAGGCUUGAAUGAAUGGUUGGACGAGAUAUAAGCUGUCUCCUAGUUAAAUCUAAAAUUUAACUUUUGAGUGAAAAGGCUCAAAUUAAGUAGUGGGACGAUAAGACCCUGUAAAACUUAAUAUAGUUAGGUUUGAAUUGAUUAUUUUCUUGGAAGUUAAUUUUAACUGAUUAAUAUUUCGUUGGGGCGACGUAGAUAGAAUUUGUAACUGUUUAUUUAAUUUAAUAAUUUAGUUAGUUUUUGAUCCUUCUUUGGGGAUAUGAAGAAUAAGUUACUUCAGGGAUAACAGCGUAAUUUUCUUUAAGAGUUCUUAUCGACAAGAGUAGUUGCGACCUCGAUGUUGAAUUAAAAUUUUAGCUAGGUGUAGUCUUUUAGCUAGUGGGUCUGUCGACUUUAAAUAUGAUCUGAGUUCAGACCGG
rnacentral:rRNA from 1 species